GGCCUCGGUGACCAACGGGAUGGUGGUCUUGCGGCGGCCACCGAACAGGAUGGCGGAGAGUUCCACGCCCUCGGGGCUG
rnacentral:tRNA from 2 species